UAAUGUAUAAAUUCAUUUAUUGUAGUAUGUUGAUGAGUCUGGCACUCGUGUUAGAGGUGACUGUCACUUACUACUAGUGGGAGAUCCAGGGUCUUGUUGGAUACUUUGUCAUUGGGUUUGAGGUUCCCUCUUAUCCUGUGUACUUCAGUACUAGUCCUCAAGAUACACCCACUCACUGGCAUCAGAGGAUAUUCUUCCUCAAUGAACCCAUACAAGUUGAAACAGGUGAUUUAUUAUGUGGUAGUAUCAGUUGCUAUAAGAACUAGGAUUGUUCAAGAUCACUUGGUAUCAAGAUACUGGUACUGUUUGUACUUUGUUUGUCAUUAGCAGAAUUAAAUU